GAAACGCGAACCAAGCAGCAGUCCCCGCAGACUGCCUAAGACUUGGAGCGGACGCCGGUAACGGCGUCCUGUC
ncrna:unclassified sequences Transposase-2 RNA